UUAAGACAAGGGAGUGUUUUGUUGUUUUUUUUUUUAUUUGUGUUGUAGAAAAGGUGGAAGCUGCAGGCAAAAUAAGUUACAAGAGUUGUGUGGUUAGUAUCCUAGAUGUAUUAUUUACUGGUAAAUAUAUUUGCUGUUUGGCAAGUAAAGCUUACGAGUUGCCAGCCUGGCUACUUCUUUCUCUGUAGAGGAUGUGUUUGAUAAUUGUCAAGUUUUCAAGCAUGCUUUAGAUCAUUGCUGGGGAAGUUUUUUCUUUCUGGAAGUAUGUGGGGAUGAUCUGGUAAAGCCAAGUUAGACAAAUGAUUCAGUCUCCAUGGCCCAAUUUACCUACCACACGUCCCUCAUGAAGCAGGUGUAACAGGAAAUGAUGUUAAAUACCUCAGGCUUUCACAGAAUUGAGUCUUCAAAGUCAGUAUCAAUAUUUUUAUUGUUUUGUUCAGGACAGAUUACAUCCUCUCUUACGGUCACUUCACUUGAAUAAGUUUGAAAUGAUCAAGUUGAUCAACUUUUCUGGAAACCAUGAUGUAUCUGCUCACCAGUUCAGACAAUGCACCCUUUUGUUUCCCCUGAUUCAGACAGCAACGGGAAGAGAGGAAAGCAGGUUGCCACAUGGGGCUUGGAAGAACUGACUGUCUUGUUAGGGUGCGGUUGGAUAUCAGACCUCAGGUUGCACUCUAAGAUAAAACAGUGUUACUUGCUCACACAUUACACGAUUGACCUCUUACCAUG
rnacentral:lncRNA from 1 species